rnacentral:rRNA from 1 species
UACGAAGGGGACUAGCGUUGUUCGGAAUCACUGGGCGUAAAGCGCACGUAGGCGGAUUCGUAAGUCAGGGGUGAAAUCCCGGGGCUCAACCUCGGAACUGCCUUUGAUACUGCGGGUCUUGAGUCCGAUAGAGGUGGGUGGAAUUCCUAGUGUAGAGGUGAAAUUCGUAGAUAUUAGGAAGAACACCGGUGGCGAAGGCGGCCCACUGGAUCGGUACUGACGCUGAGGCGCGAAAGCGUGGGGAGCGAACAGG